AUGUUGUAUGAAAGAAGAAAAGAUUAGCACAGCCCUUGAUGAGGAUGGAAGAUGCCUUAGUGGCAUGCACAACGUGUAAGAUUAAGGCACUGCCACCUACUUCAUGCUGUCUAAAUAUGUUUUUAA
rnacentral:ncRNA from 1 species